rnacentral:misc_RNA from 1 species
UGCGGAGGAUCAUUAUCGUACAACCGAGGUGCGGAGGGCUGUCGCUGACUUUUGUCGUGCACGCCCAAAGUGCUCUCAAACAAUAUCCAUCUCACCCAUUUGUGCAUCAUCGCGUGGGUCCUGCUUUUUGGCUUGUCCCAAGGAGGGGGGCUCGCGUUUUCACACAAACACCCUUUUAAUGCAGUGUAGAAUGUUCUUUUGCGAUGACUCGCAAUAAAUACAACUUUCAACAACGGAUCUCUUGGCUCUCGCAUCGAUGAAGAACGCAGCGAAAUGCGAUACGUAAUGUGAAUUGCAGAAUUCAGUGAAUCAUCGAAUCUUUGAACGCACCUUGCGCCCCUUGGCAUUCCGAGGGGCACACCCGUUUGAGUGUCGUGACAUUCUCAAAAAGAACCCUUCUUGGUCUUGCGAUCGGGAAAGGCUUUUUUUUGGACUUUGGAGGUUAUUGCUGGUCCCCCCUUGAUAGCCAGCUCCUCUUAAACGAAUUAGUAGGGACCGCUUUGCUGACCCUAGACGUGAUAAGAUGUUUCUGCGUCUUG